AACCUAAACACAACGCACGCCACGACCCUCGCCACGCCGCUCCCGCAGCGCCUCGCCCCCGCGCCUCCCCAACCGCCCCGCCUCCGCCGCACCACGCUGCCGAUCCUCCCGUGCGGUUCAAUGCCCCGCUGCCCCGGUCCUCCCGCAGCCUCCGCCGCCGAUCCUCCCGCGCGGUUCGCCGCCCGCCGCCCCCCGGUCCUCCCGCAGCCUCCACCUCGUCUGCCGCUCCACGGAUGGGAGCUAAUCGGGGGAGCAGGAAAUCCCCGUCCCCACGUAUGAGCCCCCGCCACUCUCCGAAACGGCUCGACCGCCCAGCGACGAGCUGCCCGCCGGCGCCCGACCAGUUCGGCUCUCGCGGCUGGUGGACGCGCCCUUGCUGUUGCCGACGAGCGACGCCGGCUCGCUGCCGCCGCACUGGCCCUCCCAAGCGUCUUCUGUCUUCUGUCAAUGGACAUGAGAGGUCAAGGAGUUUCCAUUGGGACAUCAGGACAUGCUCCUCCAUCUCCACCGCUGGACGACAUCCAACAUCGCUAGGUAAAUUCCAGUUUUUGCAAAUUCCAGUUCUUGAUGUUUAAAACUGGAUGAUCUGCACCCAACCCCUCUAUUGUUCUAUUUCUGCUUAUAAAUCUGAUUUGGUUGUUCAGUUCAUGCACUUACGGACUGAUGAAAAAAUGGAAAUGAAGAAGAAGAAAAGACGAAUAGCAAUAUUAUCAUUCGCGGGGUUCGUUUUUAACCUUGGUUCCUAACCAAUAUUCGCUUCAUAAUUCUGCCGGAGAGAUUCACACUAUCAUUCAUAUUACGGAUAUUGUUCAUAACCAGUAUUCUCUUUUAUCUAAUUAUAUGUACAAAAAGGAGUAAUCUGAACUGAAUUCAUGAUAUGUUAACAGUCUAACCGACAUCUUGGAUGUGUGAAUGCUUUCUUCGGUCUGAUAAGUAACCAACAAUUCAUGGUACACUGGGAAUUUUUUCCAUACUUUUAGCACUUCACUGUGAAUAAAGCAAAUACUUUCACAACAAAGGUUGUUACCUCCAGGGUAUUUUUCAUCUAUAAUUCUUCCAGCUUUAGGGACUGCUCAAUUGGUACUGGACAAUACAACAAAAGAAAUGUGCAUAUUGUCCACAUCUACAGGUAUGCAUGGGCAACAGAGCUUUAUGCCCACAAAUAAUAUCUUAGGCUGCUCCUUUUAAAUGACAGAGAUUCACACUGCCAUUCAUAGAUAAAAUAUAGUUCCUAAGCAGUAUUCUAAAUCUAAUUAUAUGUACAUCAAUUAAUAAGCAGUGUCUGAAUAGACGGAUGCUAGCCACACCCUUGCAAGGACACCACGGUGGCUCGGCAACACACUUUCAGGCUUGCCUCUCACUCCCUACGCAGCCCCUCUCCAGUGGAUGUUAUUAUUGUGGUUACUCGAUCGAGUGGACUGUAUAACUUUAUUGUUGUUGUUACUCCAUGAACUAAUAUGACCUUUGCAUCGAACCUUUUCUCCAGUAGAUGGAGCUGAUGAUCUUUGUAUGUUUCGGUAGGCCCUUGUGAAGGAUCUUCACACUAAAGGCUCCUCAUGUUCUCAAGAUUAUUCAAGCAGUAAGCUGUGAGAUGAAUUUCUUUUUGGUUUCCUUUUGUUUCAGAGAAAGCAACGGACUCUAUGCCAUAUGGUUUCCCUUUUGUUGUUGAGCAAGCAACUAACUGUAUCUCUCAAGCAAUUUACUCAUACGUUUGAUUGGAAAGAGACAACAACCAUUUGUUCUGCGACACUACUAUCUGACAGGUACUCAAUAUUAUACUAAUCGUCAAUGCUAUAGAAGUAUUCAUCCAUGAAUAAUGAGACUGAAGCCCAUUUGAGGUAAUGAGACUUUGUCCCGAUUCCAGAGAUGUACUAAAUUCUGAAGUUUGUUGUAUGACACUACUAUCUGAGAAGUAUAUUUUUUGACACUUACUUAAGUGUAUUGGAUUGGGUAAACUAAUUAGCCCUAUGUAUCAGUUUGUGGUGUGCGUUCUAAUGUGUGCUUUUGUUGUUGUUGUCAUUGUCCUCAAUAGAUCAUUCAAAUGUUGGAUUCAUGGCUUGCUAGAAUAGAUGAUUUGUGAAUCCAAUGUGUUCUUUUGCUGUUGUUGUUAGGUUGUUAAUUCAUCAAAGGCGGCUACCGAGUAUACAUACUGUGUUCAUAUCGCCUGCCUUCUUAGGAAAAAUCCUGUACUGAAGAUGCUCACGGAAUUGCGGAGAACGGCUCAUUUUUAAUGCCCAAUUGUGACACAUAUCAUACCAGGCCAAAGUCUUUUCCGUGUCGUCUAAAUCUAUCUUGUAUAUCUGAUCACCGAGUGUUUUUUUUCCUAUACCAAGUAUCAUUCGAAGGGGCGACAUACCCAAUUCUCAGAUCCCUCAAGCAACAGAUGUAGUGUUGUCAGUCUCUGUGGAUGUGAAUCUGUCUGCUCCUAGGCAACAAUAGAGGGGUGAUUGGGAUAUACUGAGGGUUAGUGGAGUCAGUCACCAGCCUCUCCGUUGUUUCAACAACAGCAUCAAGCGGCGCUAAAACAUGUCAGUUACUUUCAUCUUGGGCAUAGCCAACCUUAUUGGUGGACUGACCCUCAUUUUUCACAACAUUGCUGAUCUGAGAGACAUAGAAGACAUGAACAAGGAAAAAAAUGAGAAGGUCGGCCACUAUUGGCUCAAGCUCAGGAGGUGGUCGAAAGCCCAGCUCCACAUGGUCCUAGCACUAUUGUCACACAUGGUGUUUGGGCCACUUCCAACGGUGCUCCGCGGGUUGUCGUUCCGCGAGAGCAAUGACUGGGAGAACAAGAUGAUGAACGUCACCGGUGCUUCGCUCGCGUGCAUCGCGCUGCUUGCGCUCGGGACGUGCAUGUCCACAAAAGAGCCAUGACAUACUUCAAGACUCUAAUUUACUACCUGACCAUUGCCGUGAGCUUGUCCGGAAUAUCGUACGUUGCCGGUGUGCUGAUCACGAGGCUUCUCAAACACUUUGGCACCAUCGAUCUAGGUGGUGCAUUGGCUCCUCAUGCUUCUCCAGGCCUGUUGUUCUCUCAUUUAGGUCGUGCACAUACGUCUGACCGAGGGCUCAAUCUGAAGGCUUAAGUUCCUCGGAGCAUUGAUGGUAUAAAAAAGAGAAGACAUGUGUGAGUUCAAGAGAAAGUGCAUGAAAAAACAUCCCAAUCUUUUUGAGUUGCUACCUGCUGUUUUGUUAAAAUUCUGGUGUAGAUACUAUCAUUUAUGUCAAAAUGUGUGAUCUUGGUCACUCGAGCUCAUCUCUAUCGUCGAAUAUUACUAUCAGUUAUUUUAGAGCAGGGAAAAUUACAAGUCCAGUCUUUCCUUCCUUUUUCUGAGGAAAAAGAUGCCAUUCUUUGGAAGAUUGUGAAGAAAGCA